rnacentral:rRNA from 1 species
UACAGAGGGGCCAAGCGUUAGGCGGAAUCACUGGGCUUAAAGCGCGCGUAGGCGGAUGUUUAAGUGUCUUGUGAAAUCCCACGGCUCAACCGUGGAACUGCUGGGGAUACUGGACAUCUCGAGGCACUCAGGGGCGAGCGGAACAAGUGGUGGAGCGGUGAAAUGCGUAGAUAUCACUUGGAACGCCAAUGGUGAAGACGGCUCGCUGGGGGUGUCCUGACGCUGAGGCGCGAAAGCCAGGGGAGCGAACGGG